CCGGGCCAUAGAAUGAUGAAUAUAACCACGUAAGGCCAUGCCUGAUAGAUGCCAGAUGGGGGAGAAGAGGUCCAGAGCUGACCUAGCUUGCGGAGGCCACACAGUCGGUUUUGGUUGUGGUCAACGGCAGUCGGGAUGCAGAUGAUCUUCCCUCUGACAUGUGAUCAGAGGGUCAGUACUGAUGGUCAGCUACGUCAUGGCAUCUGUGUCAUUCUCCAUGCUCCAUCUCCUCACAUAGGCAUUUUAUUGUCUCAUAUCAUCACG